GAUGAACGCUAGCGGGAGGCCUAACACAUGCAAGCCGAGCGGUAUUGUUUCUUCGGAAAUGAGAGAGCGGCGUACGGGUGCGUAACACGUGUGCAACCUGCCUUUAUCUGGGGGAUAGCCUUUCGAAAGGAAGAUUAAUACUCCAUAAUAUAUUGAACGGCAUCGUUUAAUAUUGAAAGCUCCGGCGGAUAGAGAUGGGCACGCGCAAGAUUAGCUAGUUGGUGAGGUAACGGCUCACCAAGGCGAUGAUCUUUAGGGGGCCUGAGAGGGUGAUCCCCCACACUGGUACUGAGACACGGACCAGACUCCUACGGGAGGCAGCAGUGAGGAAUAUUGGUCAAUGGGUGCAAGCCUGAACCAGCCAUCCCGCGUGAAGGACGACUGCCCUAUGGGUUGUAAGCUUCUUUUGUAUAGGGAUAAACCUACCCUCGUGAGGGUAGCUGAAGGUACUAUACGAAUAAGCACCGGCUAACUCCGUGCCAGCAGCCGCAGUAACAC
rnacentral:rRNA from 1 species